rnacentral:rRNA from 1 species
AUUGAACGCUGGCGGCAGGCCUAACACAUGCAAGUCGAGCGGUUGACGGGAGCUUGCUCCCUGAUUCAGCGGCGGACGGGUGAGUAAUGCCUAGGAAUCUGCCUAUUAGUGGGGGACAACGUUUCGAAAGGGACGCUAAUACCGCAUACGUCCUACGGGAGAAAGCAGGGGACCUUCGGGCCUUGCGCUAAUAGAUGAGCCUAGGUCGGAUUAGCUUGUUGGUGAGGUAAUGGCUCACCAAGGCGACGAUCCGUAACUGGUCUGAGAGGAUGAUCAGUCACACUGGAACUGAGACACAGUCCAGACUCCUACGGGAGGCAGCAGUGGGGAAUAUCGGACAAUGGGCGAAAGCCUGAUCCAGCCAUGCCGCGUGUGUGAAGAAGGUCUUCGGAUUGUAAAGCACUUUAAGUUGGGAGGAAGGGUUGUAGAUUAAUACUCUGCAAUUUUGACGUUACCGACAGAAUAAGCACCGGCUAACUCUGUGCCAGCCGCCGCCGUAACAC